UCUGUCACCCACUUCACAGGGUUGUUUCAAGGGUCAGAUCCAAUCAUGGAAGAGAAAGCCGUCUGUAAAAACUGUAAAGUAUUUAACAGAUUUGAAGGAUUAUCAUUUUUAAGUCUCAGUUGUUGUCUUUUCCUAACUUUCCACUCUGGUUUUUACCAAGAGGAUCCUAGAGCCAGGCAAUGACAAGGGGCCCAGGUCUCUCAGCUGAAAAAGAUUUUCCAAAUAAAAGAUUUGAUUGAGCACACUCCUGUUUUCCUUGGGCCGGUCCCAACCACCCAAAUGUUUAAUUGGGUUGGAAAGCUGUGAUCCUGAUGGCCAUUGUUGCAGGCAAAUGAGGAACAUGGAGCCUUGCUCUCUGACCCUGCACAAGAGAGGAGCGCCCGAGAAAACCACAGAGAGCAGCUCUCCCGCUGGCUUAUGCUGUCCGAUAACAGCACUAUUAGAGCAAAUGCUAGCUCAGUCAACCGCUUGUUCGUUUGUUUAUUCAAGGCUGUCUUAUGAGCAUCUUCCAAAAGCCGUACCCUGCUGAGGCGUGCUGUAGACAGAGAGGAAUGGCCACCGUCCUGCCCUCGAGGAGCACACAGUCCUGAGGGCUUCCACUAACAUCCCCCAUGAAUGUCCCCCUGCCUGGAAUUUAUUCUUCCCUCUUCUCUGCUCCACAACAAUUAAUGCCAGCGGUACGGGCUGAACUGUGACAUCCUCCCCCAAAAUUCCCAUAUUUAAGUCCUAACCUCCAGUUACUCAGAAUGUGACUGUAUUUGGAGACUGGGCCUUAAAGAGAUAAUUAAGGUGAAAGGAGGCCAUCUGGGUGGGCCCUGGUCCAGUCUGAUUGGUGUCCUUGUAAGUAGAUUAGGACACAGACAUACAGGGAAGGCCACGCAAGGACACAGGGCGAAGACGGCAUCUACAAGCCACGGAGAGAGAGGCCUCCGAGGAGAUGACCCUGCCACUCUGAUCUCAGACUUCUGGACUUCAGAAACGUAAGAAAAGCACUCUGUUGUUUCAGACGCCCAGUCUGUGGUGCUUUCCGACGGCAGCCUGAGUAGAUCUACACAGCCAGCUAGCACAUCGACUCUCAUGUGCAGACUAUGAUUUAUUUUUGUGUUUACUCAAUUAAAGCAACAAUAAAUUUUUUUAAAACCCCAUAGGCCAACCCUCAAGUCUGCAGUCUUAACAGGAGACCAGGAUUGUUUCUUCCUUGCCCAGUGCUGGGUGCUGGAGGCACUGGGCUGAGAAAGCUCUGGGCCUUCUUCACGGAGCACAUUUCCAGCUGCGGAGCCCAGCUGACAGCAUCACACGUGUAGUCAUUUUCUGAGGACUGUAAUGGGGAGCCCUAUCACAUUGCGUUCCUUCACGUCUAUCUGAAACCGGCUACAGGAGUGACGGAGUCGGGCACUCCUCCUGGGGAAGAAACGCCCCCACUGUCACGAAACACAAACAGCUGUUAUCCAGCAGGGGGUGGGGACAGGCAGUGCCAGGUGUGCACACAGAUGGGUGCAAGUAGCCCAGCUGUGGCAAGUCAGGGAAGGAGCAGGAGGAGAGGUGGGCGAGGCCAAGGCAGGGGCAGGGCGCGCAGGGCCCGCGGGCCGAGCAGGUAGCUGACUGACAGCUGAAGGUAGUGCACACGCCAAGGGUUUCAAACAGGAUUCUGCUCCAAUUUUACCGUUGCGUCUUCCUCCCACCUGGACCUUUCACAGAAGAGGCACUCAAGGAGCGUUCGUUGAUGUGAACUGAAGAGACCAAACCCACAGCGGGCUACAGACCUACGUGCUAAGAAGAAAGAUCCCCCUUUCCUUUCUCCUCCUCGCUCCCUAACCUGAGCCCCCUUCCUUCCUGCAAGCCCUGCUUUUGUGAUGUCUGCCCAGACAGCUCAGGCCCGUGGCUGGGAAGUGGAAACAACCAGAACAGGCACAAAGCCACCCCAUGCAGAUGACAGACUGACCUCCCAGCUGGGUUCCUGGAUGCCCUGGACCACUUACUCCUCCGGCAGAACAGGGAAGGCCCACCCGCUCACCUCUGGGCCACAGCAUAAGAGAGGAGGAGACACCUGAUUCCUUUAGACCCCGCAUUCCUGAGCCCUCCGCGCACCAGCUCCGUCUGGACCUUCUGCAGCCCACAGCCUUACUUUGGAGAUUGCAGAUACCACAUCCAAGCUACUAGACACAGUGGAUCUGUGGUUAGUGGACACUAACAGGAUGUGAGGCAGGAACUAUCACCAUCCCUACUUUACAAACGAGGAAGCUGAGGCUUUCAGAGAGAAGAGUUCGGAACAGUCUGCAAGGAGGCGUCAGACCUGAAAAGCUGCCAGGGAGGCCCUGCAGAAUCAGUGCAAAGGCUCACGCUGACUGCGAGGGAACGACAAGAAACGCCCUGCCUGCUGCAUCAGGAAGCAAAUCUCGCCUCCACGUUUUACAAAUACCCACUGCCCACCUACAUGCCCCAGGUUGCUGGACAGCAGAAACACGGGCUCCACACUAUCCCUUCCAUCCUCCUCAACCCUCGGCUUCCCCAUUAGGCCCUCAGACACACAGACUCCUUCCUCCUUCCACUCCCCCUCAAAAAGUCCCACAUAUUAGCUCCAGCAAACAGAGCCCCAGGAGGAUCCCACGGCCUGGUUCUGCCACCAGCCAGACUCCAGGGCACGCUCCGGCUCGGCAGCAUCAGCCCUGCCCUCUGCUGCCCUAAGGAAAAUCUUUGCAGAGCCUUAGUGAGGCCUCCACCUCUAAGGGUGGACGGAUGGGGACACUUAGAUCCAGGGCCCCAGCUACUCCGAUUUUCCACUCUUGACUCACAGUGCCCUGCCCAGAAAGGCCUUUGGGCCCGACUACCCGUGGUUCAGAAGGCCAGAAUUCAGGAGAUGUGUUUGCAUGUGCGAAGUGAGCCAACGAAUGGAAACUCUGGCCCUACCUAGAGGGAACGCCUCGGAGAGACACAACUUCUCUGAAACGACCUGAUAGCAAAAGUUGGGAGAAUUGAGAGCUGGGAGAGGAGAGAUGGUGUCUCUUGGGUCAUACAAAACACAGUUGUACAUAUGCAGAGAAAGCCAGCCAGAGGGCCACGCCCAGGAGGAGGGAUACCCAUGACAAGAGGGAGUGGGCUGCAGAAGUGACCUUGCUAGGUCACUUUGCUUCCUCUUCAGGUUUUAGCAUCCAAGGAUUUGUUAUAGAAAAUGAAAAAGCACAAGUUCCAAGAGGCUAGUCCUCCUCAGCCUGCAUCGCAGGGGCCUAACCAAGCAAUAAUGAGAGCAUUCACCUUGAGCAGAGCUAGAAGGUCAGAAUGGAUGCCAGUUUGGCCUGAACUUCUCCCAGCCUUGAACUUCUCCCAGCCUUGAACUUCAUAAAGUGCUUUCAUUUGCUACUCUCAGCUCCAAACCAUCCCAACAGUCUUUCAAGGGAUGCAUUCAUAUUUCCAUUUUGUGAUGAGGAAAGUGAGGCUCAAAGAAGUGAAGUAACUUAUCCACAGCCACAGGCUAGUAAGUGGCAUAGCUGGAAUUCUAUCCAGGUCUGUCUGUCUGGACCUGGGACAUUUAGCCAGCAUCCCCCGCUCCUCAAAACCAUCCAAUCAUCAGGGAAUUAUUAUACCCGGAUUCAAAGAGGUCAGGUGACUUGCCCGAGGGAAAGAAGAAAGAAAAGGCUAAAGAAAGAAUGAAGGGAAGGAAGAAGGAAGCCAUGGUAGGAACAAGGGAAGGAAGCUAACACUCCUGGGACCUCCUGUGCGCCAGGCCCUGUGCUGAGUCCCUUACCCCUUGUGUUUUAUUUAAGCCUCAUGACGGCCCUUUAAGGAAAGCCCAUUUGCCAUUCCACAGGUGAGAAGACAAGGCCUCAGGUGAUGCCUCAGGUCUCACAGCUGGUAGAGCAAUCUGGAGGUUUUGCACAGGCCCCCGAGCGGUGGUGCCAGCUUGGCACUGCUGUUCAGACAGGACCCUCCUUCUCAUCCCCAAGAGGGGCCCAGAGCCCAGUUAUCCUCGGUCUCCUUGAAGGCCUCCCAGAACCACAGCAGGUUAAAACCCAUGCACCUUAGAGAUCGUUAAUCCAACCCACAUGAGGAGAAACUGAGAUCCAGAAACAGGUGCAGACCCGCCUGGGGUCCCAUGGAGGGUUCCCAAGAGAGCUGGGGGCCAGCUCUUCCCACCCUGGCCCUCGGAGAAGUCAGCAAUGCCACCAGCCGUGGCAUUUAAUUGUUUCCAGACCCUGAAAUGCUGCAGUCGCCCCUCCCCACUCGGUCCCAUUCUGGCUGAAGCCUUCCCAGGUCGACGGAGCAGAAAG
rnacentral:lncRNA from 1 species